rnacentral:rRNA from 1 species
UGGGGAAUAUUGCACAAUGGGCGAAAGCCUGAUGCAGCAACGCCGCGUGAGUGAUGAAGGUCUUCGGAUUGUAAAGCUCUGUCUUUUGGGACGAUAAUGACGGUACCAAAGGAGGAAGCCACGGCUAACUACGUGCCAGCAGCCGCGGUAAUACGUAGGUGGCGAGCGUUGUCCGGAUUUACUGGGCGUAAAGGGUGCGUAGGCGGAUGUUUAAGUGAGAUGUGAAAUACCCGGGCUUAACUUGGGUGCUGCAUUUCAAACUGGAUAUCUAGAGUGCAGGAGAGGAGAAUGGAAUUCCUAGUGUAGCGGUGAAAUGCGUAGAGAUUAGGAAGAACACCAGUGGCGAAGGCGAUUCUCUGGACUGUAACUGACGCUGAGGCACGAAAGCGUGGGUAGCAAACAGGAUUAGAUACCCUGGUAGUCCACGCCGUAAACGAUGAGUACUAGGUGUAGGAGGUAUCGACCCCUUCUGUGCCGCAGUAAACACAUUAAGUACUCCGCCUGGGAAGUACGAUCGCAAGAUUAAAAAC